UACGGAGGGCGCGAGCGUUAAUCGGAAUUACUGGGCGUAAAGCGCGCGUAGGCUGUUGUGUAAGUUGGGGGUGAAAUCCCACGGCUCAACCGUGGAACAGCCCUUGAUACUGCGCGACUUGAAUCCGGGAGAGGGUGGCGGAAUUCCAGGUGUAGGGGUGAAAUCCGUAGAUAUCUGGAGGAACAUCAGUGGCGAAGGCGGCCACCUGGACCGGUAUUGACGCUGAGGCGCGAAAGCGUGGGGAGCAAACAGG
rnacentral:rRNA from 1 species